GACAGCACUGUGAUGAUGCUGACCAAGGGACUCCAAAAAAAAGAAGGAAGAAGAAAAAGAAAAGACGCACUGUUUUUUCUGAUGAAACGGAGCGACUUCUCCAGACCUAUGAAGAUGUACUAGAGGAUGGAAGACAAAUUGCAUCACAGAUUUACUCCAAACUCACAGACAUAUCCUGCAGGACGGCUGAAAGCAAAACAUUUCUGGAGGAGCUAAAAGAGAAGACUUCAGCUUUGAAAGAACAGAGUUCAGAAAAGAAAAUUUACAUUGGAUUAUUUGGCAAGACGGGAG